rnacentral:rRNA from 1 species
GACGAACGCUGGCGGCGUGCUUAACACAUGCAAGUCGAACGGAAAGGCCCUGCUUGCAGGGUACUCGAGUGGCGAACGGGUGAGUAACACGUGGGUGAUCUGCCCUGCACUUCGGGAUAAGCCUGGGAAACUGGGUCUAAUACCGGAUAGGAGCCAUUUUUAGUGUGAUGGUUGGAAAGUUUUUUCGGUGUAGGAUGAGCUCGCGGCCUAUCAGCUUGUUGGUGGGGUAAUGGCCUACCAAGGCGGCGACGGGUAGCCGGCCUGAGAGGGUGGACGGCCACAUUGGGACUGAGAUACGGCCCAGACUCCUAAGGGAGGCAGCAGUGGGGAAUAUUGAACAAUGGGCGCAAGCCUGAUGCAGCGACGCCGCGGGGGGGAUGACGGCCUUCGGGUUGUAAACUCCUUUCGCUAGGGACGAAGCUUUUUGUGACGGUACCUAGAUAAGAAGCACCGGCUAACUACGUG